rnacentral:rRNA from 1 species
AUGAACGCUAGCGGCAGGCUUAACACAUGCAAGUCGAGGGGUAGAGGAAGCUUGCUUCCUUGAGACCGGCGCACGGGUGCGUAACGCGUAUACAAUCUACCUUUACAGAGGGAUAGCCCAGAGAAAUUUGGAUUAAUACCUCAUAGUAUUUUCGGAUCGCAUGAUUUGAUUAUUAAAGUUCCAACGGUAAAAGAUGAGUAUGCGUCCCAUUAGCUAGUUGGUAAGGUAAAGGCUCACCAAGCCGACGAUCUGUAGCUGGUCUGAGAGGACGACCAGCCACACUGGGACUGAGACACGGCCCAGACUCCUACGGGAGGCAGCAGUGGGGAAUUUUGGACAAUGGGCGCAAGCCUGAUCCAGCAAUGCCGCGUGCAGGAUGAAGGCCUUCGGGUUGUAAACUGCUUUUGUACGGAACGAAACGGUGAGCUCUAAUACAGUUUGCUAAUGACGGUACCGUAAGAAUAAGCACCGGCUAACUCCGUG